GCGGCGGUGGCUGCAUUGCUGCAUUGAGCGAAUCGAGCGCAGCACCUCCUUGCCAGAGGAGGUGUGCCGGACGCCGGCGCCGGUGCGCUUCCGGCUCGCCGCC
rnacentral:tRNA from 1 species